GACGAACGCUGGCGGCGUGCUUAACACAUGCAAGUCGAACGGAAAGGCCCUGCUUGCAGGGUACUCGAGUGGCGAACGGGUGAGUAACACGUGGGUGAUCUGCUCUUCACUUCGGGAUAAGCCUGGGAAACUGGGUCUAAUACCGGAUAGUAGCCAUUUUUAGUGUGAUGGUUGGAAAGUUUUUUCGGUGUAGGAUGAGCUCGCGGCCUAUCAGCUUGUUGGUGGGGUAAUGGCCUACCAAGGCGGCGACGGGUAGCCGGCCUGAGAGGGUGGACGGCCACAUUGGGACUGAGAUACGGCCCAGACUCCGACGGGAGGCAGCAGUGGGGAAGAUUGAACAAGGGGCGCAAGCCUGAUGCAGCGAGGCCGCGGGGGGGAUGACGGCCUUCGGGUUGUAAACUCCUUUCGCUAGGGACGAAGCUUUUUGUGACGGUACCUAGAGAAGAAGCACCGGCUAACUACGUG
rnacentral:rRNA from 1 species